rnacentral:rRNA from 1 species
UACGUAGGGUGCAAGCGUUGUCCGGAAUUAUUGGGCGUAAAGAGCUCGUAGGCGGUUUGUCGCGUCGAAUGUGAAAACCCGGGGCUCAACCCCGGGCCUGCAUUCGAUACGGGCAGACUAGAGUUCGGUAGGGGAGUCUGGAAUUCCUGGUGUAGCGGGUGAAAUGCGCAGAUAUCAAGGAGGAACACCCGGUGGCGAAGGCGGGACUCUGGGCCGAUACUGACGUGAGGAGCGAAAGCGUGGGGAGCAAACAGG